rnacentral:rRNA from 1 species
GAUGAACGCUGGCGGCGUGCCUAAUACAUGCAAGUCGAGCGAACAGACGAGGAGCUUGCUCCUCUGACGUUAGCGGCGGACGGGUGAGUAACACGUGGAUAACCUACCUAUAAGACUGGGAUAACUUCGGGAAACCGGAGCUAAUACCGGAUAAUAUAUUGAACCGCAUGGUUCAAUAGUGAAAGACGGUUUUGCUGUCACUUAUAGAUGGAUCCGCGCCGCAUUAGCUAGUUGGUAAGGUAACGGCUUACCAAGGCAACGAUGCAUAGCCGACCUGAGAGGGUGAUCGGCCACACUGGAACUGAGACACGGCCCAGACUCCUACGGGAGGCAGCAGUAGGGAAUCUUCCGCAAUGGGCGAAAGCCUGACGGAGCAACGCCGCGUGAGUGAUGAAGGUCUUCGGAUCGUAAAACUCUGUUAUUAGGGAAGAACAAAUGUGUAAGUAACUAUGCACGUCUUGACGGUACCUAAUCAGAAAGCCACGGCUAACUACGUG